rnacentral:lncRNA from 1 species
CUUGCCCCUCGCCUUCUUGGCCUCCUGCGUGCUCUCCACUUCCUACCCUGCCUCAGUUCUCCCCACGGCUGUUGGGAUCUCUCUGUGGACGGUGUUUAUUUGUUGAUGUAUUUUCAAAGAAACAGCCCGUGGAAAGGUCCAAAGGGACUGAUAGAACUUGGAUUUCCUGGGAAGACUCUGUCGCGUUUGCUAAUCCUUCCCUCUUCGCCGUGUCCUCCUCCUAAGCCGUGGGUUCCACAGUUAGGGCUUGGCUGGGAGAGGUUUGUUGGGAAGCAGCUUUUUUGGAAGCCUCCCGAGGACCACGGCCGAGCCCUCAAGGUCAUCUCUUGGUGAGGCUCUGCAGUUCGUAAAGUGGCGAUUUGGCCUCUGUCAUGCUGAUGCUGGAGGCAGCCAGGCCCCAGAGCCUCUCCUGGCGGGCAUCCUGAAUGCCAGAAGCUUAGGCACAACUUCAGGGAAGAAAACAUUUUGGAAAUGACGAGAAAACUGUGAGGGAGUUGCAACUGUAAACAGCAAAUGUGCUAAAGACCAGAGACUUAUGCAGAGCUAAAAGAGGGCAGGUGGAGCUGUUCUCAGUUUUUUACAUGUGAAGAAAACAUUGGGCUGACUCCAUUCUGGUUCCGCAGAGCUAAAAUGUGCCUUGAUGACUGUUGUUGUUUUAUUUAACACAAGCACCCGGGGCUGCGUGAGGAUCAGGGCUUGAUGAGCCAAAGGAUUCUGAGAAAAAAGGUGAACAGCUGUGGUUCUUGUCAAACACAAACUCUUAAUCGUUGCUUAAUCAUUCCCCCAUAUUAGACAUUUGUGUUAUUUUAAUUGUUUGCUAUCGCAAAUAGCAUUGUAAUGAAAACCUUUGGGCACCUAACUUAUUCUUUUGCAUUAUUUCCUUUACAUAAUUUCCUGAGAGUGGGAUUACUGAUUAAAGCGUAUGAACAUUUUAGUCUCUUGAAAUAUUGCCAAAAUGUCUCCAACUGGUUGAACCAAUUGACACUACCUUUACAUGAAUGUACCAAUUUUGCUACAACCUUGCCAGCAUUAUGUAUUACAGCUUCCCCCUGCCACCCCCGC